CGGAUCCCAUCAGAACUCCGCAGUGAAGCGUGCUUGGGCGAGAGUAGUACUAGGAUGGGUGACCUCUUGGGAAGUCCUCGUGUUGCAUUGU
rnacentral:rRNA from 1 species